rnacentral:rRNA from 1 species
UACGUAGGGGGCAAGCGUUGUCCGGAAUUAUUGGGCGUAAAGAGCGUGUAGGCGGCCAGAUAAGUCCGCUGUGAAAUCUCGAGGCUCAACUUCGAGCUGUCGGUGGAAACUAUCUGGCUAGAGUCCGGAAGAGGAGAAUGGAAUUCCUGGUGUAGCGGUGAAAUGCGCAGAUAUCAGGAGGAACACCGGUGGCGAAGGCGGGUCUCUGGGCCGUAACUGACGCUGGAGGAGCGAAAGCAUGGGGAGCGAACAGG